rnacentral:tRNA from 1 species
GUCCCUGUAGCGCAAUGGAUAGCGCGUCGGUCUUCUAAUCCCAAGGUCGUGGGUUCGAAUCCAACCUGGGAUG